CUAAGGUGACUGCCGGCUAAAAGUCGGAGGAAGUGGGGAGUGACGUCAAAUCAUCAUGCCCCUUAUGACCUGGGCUACACACGUGCUACAAUGGGCGGUACAAAGGGUCGCGAACCCGCAGGGGGAGCCAAUCCCAAAAAAGCCGCUCUCAGUUCGGAUUGCAGGCUGCAACUCGCCUGCAUGAAGCCGGAAUCGCUAGUAAUCGCGGAUCAGCAUGCCGCGGUGAAUGCGUUCCCGGGCCUU
rnacentral:rRNA from 1 species